CAAAAGGACAAGUUCAGCUC
rnacentral:misc_RNA from 1 species